AUGGCCGCACCCUGGCCGACUACAGCAUCCACAAGGAUUCCACGCUUCACCUCGUGCUGCGCCUCGUCGGCGGUGGCAGGGGCUCGUGCUACCCGUUCAGGUUGGAGCCUAACCUGCUCGCGCUUGCGCUCAAGUACAGGCAACACAAGCUUGUGUGUCGCAAGUAUGUUACUACUCCUUGGACAAUUUCUUUUACUGUGCAUCGAUAUGCCGCUGUUACAUGCAUGUUUGUGUCUGCAACUUUGGAUGUCUAUGAGCUUGUGA
rnacentral:rRNA from 1 species